GACGAACCGUGCGAACGUUGUUCGGAUUCACUGGGCUUAAAGGGCGCGUAGGCGGACGGUCAAGUCAGGGGUGAAAUCUUUCAGCUCAACUGGAAAAGUGCCUUUGAUACUGAUCGUCUCGAGGGAGGUAGGGGCAUGUGGAACUUCCGGUGGAGCGGUGAAAUGCGUAGAUAUCGGAAGGAACGCCGGUGGCGAAAGCGACGUGCUGGACCUCUUCUGGCGCUGAGGCGCGAAAGCUAGGGGAGCAAACGGG
rnacentral:rRNA from 1 species